UUUAGUGCGACGGAAGGAAAACAACACGGAGAGAAGAAGAAAAAAGAAGAGGAAGAGGAAAAAUAGACUUAAAGUUCUUAUAAAACGUCUGGCAUUAUAGAUAAUUAUAGUUCUCAGGUGCUGCUGAUAGUUCCACAAAGCCAUGGCCCACAGUGGAGUCAGUCCGGGUCCGGGUCCAGGUC